UACGGGGGGGGCAAGCGUUGUUCGGAAUUACUGGGCGUAAAGGGUGCGUAGGCGGCGCGGUAAGUCGGGUGUGAAAUCUCGGAGUUUAACUCCGAAACUGCAUUCGAUACUGCCGUGCUUGAGGACUGGAGAGGAGACUGGAAUUUACGGUGUAGCGGUGAAAUGCGUAGAUAUCGUAAGGAAGACCAGUGGCGAAGGCGGGUCUCUGGACAGUUCCUGACGCUGAGGCACGAAGGUCAGGGGAGCAAACGGG
rnacentral:rRNA from 1 species